rnacentral:rRNA from 1 species
AGUGAACGCUGGCGGUAGGCCUAACACAUGCAAGUCGAACGGCAGCACAGUAAGAGCUUGCUCUUACGGGUGGCGAGUGGCGGACGGGUGAGGAAUACAUCGGAAUCUACUUUUUCGUGGGGGAUAACGUAGGGAAACUUACGCUAAUACCGCAUACGACCUACGGGUGAAAGCAGGGGAUCUUCGGACCUUGCGCGAUUGAAUGAGCCGAUGUCGGAUUAGCUAGUUGGCGGGGUAAAGGCCCGCCAAGGCGACGAUCCGUAGCUGGUCUGAGAGGAUGAUCAGCCGCACUGGAGCUGAGACGCGGUCCAGACUCCUACGAGAGGCAGCAGUGGGGAAUAUUGGGCAAUGGGCGCAAGCCUGGUCCAGCCAUACCGCGUGGGUGAAGAAGGCCUUCGGGUUGUAAAGCCCUUUUGUUGGGAAAGAAAAGCAGCAGGUUAAUACCCCGCUGUUCUGACGGUACCCAAAGAAUAAGCACCGGCUAACUUCGUG